rnacentral:rRNA from 1 species
UACGAAGGGUGCAGGCGUUAAUCGGAAUUACUGGGCGUAAAGGGUGCGUAGGCGGUUGUUUAAGUCUGUCGUGAAAUCCCCGGGCUCAACCUGGGAAUGGCGAUGGAAACUGGGCAGCUAGAGUGUGUCAGAGGGGGGUGGAAUUCCACGUGUAGCAGUGAAAUGCGUAGAGAUGUGGAGGAACACCGAUGGCGAAGGCAGCCCCCUGGGCCGAUACUGACGCUCAGGCACGAAAGCGUGGGGAGCAAACAGG